CCUACGGGAGGCAGCAGUGGGGAAUAUUGCACAAUGGGCGCAAGCCUGAUGCAGCCAUGCCGCGUGUGUGAAGAAGGCCUUCGGGUUGUAAAGCACUUUCAGCGGGGAGGAAGGCGGUGAGGUUAAUAACCUCAUCGAUUGACGUUACCCGCAGAAGAAGCACCGGCUAACUCCGUGCCAGCAGCCGCGGUAAUACGGAGGGUGCAAGCGUUAAUCGGAAUUACUGGGCGGAAAGCGCACGCAGGCGGUCUGCCAAGUCGGAUGUGAAAUCCCGGGCUCAACCUGGGAACUGCAUUCGAAACUGGCAGGCUAGAGUCUUGUAGAGGGGGGUAGAAUUCCAGGUGUAGCGGUGAAAUGCGUAGAGAUCUGGAGGAAUACCGGUGGCGAAGGCGGCCCCCUGGACAAAGACUGACGCCCAGGUGCGAAAGCGUGGGGAGCAAACAGGAUUAGAUACCCGUGUAGUC
rnacentral:rRNA from 1 species